rnacentral:rRNA from 1 species
ACGGGUGAGUAACACGUAGGCAACCUGCCUGUAAGAUCGGGAUAACUACCGGAAACGGUAGCUAAGAGCGAAUAGCUGGUUUUCUCGCAUGAGAGAAUCAUGAAACACGGCGCAAGCUGUGGCUUACAGAUGGGCCUGCGGCGCAUUAGCUAGUUGGUGAGGUAACGGCUCACCAAGGCGACGAUGCGUAGCCGACCUGAGAGGGUGAUCGGCCACACUGGGACUGAGACACGGCCCAGACUCCUACGGGAGGCAGCAGUAGGGAAUCUUCCGCAAUGGACGCAAGUCUGACGGAGCAACGCCGCGUGAGUGAUGAAGGUUUUCGGAUCGUAAAGCUCUGUUGCCAGGGAAGAACGCUUGGGAGAGUAACUGCUCUCAAGGUGACGGUACCUGAGAAGAAAGCCCCGGCUAACUACGUGCCAGCAGCCGCGGUAAUACGUAGGGGGCAAGCGUUGUCCGGAAUUAUUGGGCGUAAAGCGCGCGCAGGCGGUGAUUUAAGUUUGGUGUUUAAUCCCGGGGCUCAACCCCGGGUCGCACUGAAAACUGGGUCACUUGAGUGCGGGAGAGGAAAGUGGAAUUCCACGUGUAGC